CCAAAUAUCUAAACGGGGAAAUUCAAUACUAAGCGUUAAAACUUAGUGUGCACUUUUCCUUUAGUAAGACAUCGUGAUCCAUUAGAAAUUGAUGUACGCCAUGUGCAUAUUAGGUCAUCAAUGAGCCGACGUGAAGUUUAUCGGAACAAAUGCUAUGAUCUUUCAACGGUCGUAUAUAUUGUCUGGUAAGCGCGUCGAUACUCGCUAUGACUGUCUGAUGGAUUUUAAAGGCCGAUAUCAUUAAUGUUAAGGCAUUACAUACGCAAGUAUGAAUACGAUACGUGCCCGAUCAACGAUGGUUAAAUUUGGGAUACCUUUUGGACCCGUCUUGAAACACGGACCAAGGAGUCUAUCUAAUGUGCGAGUAAAUGAGUAGUUUAUGAAACUUAUUUGCAUAAUAAACUUGACUGAUUCAUUCAAUGGGAUUACGAGAAUGGCUACGCAAGUGGUUAUCUCUUCCAUCCCGGGGUAUUUUCAUCAACAUACGAGCAAUCGUAUGGAAAAUAUACCAUGAGCACAUUGGAUACGACCCGAAAGAUGGUGAACUAUGCCUGAUCAAGUUGAAGUCAGGGGAAACCCUGAUGGAGGACUGAAGCAGUUCUGACGUGCAAAUCG
rnacentral:rRNA from 1 species